rnacentral:lncRNA from 1 species
GUGAUUAAAGUUUCUUUUCCCAUUUCUUCUCCCCCUGCUUCUCCUCUCUCUUUCCAUUAAUAGCUAUUUUUCUCUUUGCCUCUUUUCGUCUGUCCAUUUUUCACAUUUAAAUAGUCCCCCAAAACUUGAUAUGGGAAACUUCCAUCCACUCUCGUCUUACAGCCACGUUGAAUAUAUAAAUUUCAAAGUUUAGUCUGCUUUUUAAAAUUCUACUGUAUUUGUAGUGUAUGUGUUGCAGCAGUCCAAAGUAAACACUGCGCCGUCUGCGGUCAGUGAGCAGUGGUGCUGCAUCGAACAUGUUGUAACAUCACUAUCGCGCUUUCUCACGGUUCACCAGCCUCUGACAAAGUCUCCGCUCGUGGCCUUAUCAUUUAUGCCAACUAACUGGCCAUCCUCAAGCUGACAUUGUGGUGAUUGAUAGGAGAACGGGUGUGGACUCCUUGUCCUGCUUCCUUUUCCUCCGUUGCUCUCCAGAAGCAACCGUUUCGCACGGAGGGGGGCUUGAUAAGAGUCCCGAGUGUGAGAUGAUUUGACUUGGGUUGUUCAAAGCGGUGACAGAACAGAAGAUGCCAUGGCGUGUCCAGUCCCCAGAAGGAAAACAAGGGAGCAGGGAUGGACGUUUAAAAGCUACAAAUAGGCUUCUUCUUAAGAAAGCAUAUCCAUCAAGGAACUGCAUGCAGAGCGUCGAUACCUCAGUGCAGAGGGAUGAAUAACAAGGCCUUCCAGCAUUCCCAAACAUCCGGCUCAAGUCCAGUCGAUGCUCAUUCCUGCGAUCAGCGAUCCAUCUGCCUGUUGACAGACAAGAUGAACAAGAUAGAUGAAGACACCUGCGAGGGGAGGAGCUGUGGAAAUCCACGGCGUGACUAUCUUUCGCAGGAGACAUCCUGGCCAGCUGUUCAUCCAGACAGGGUGUCUACAGCUGUCUGUGCGAAGCUGAGUUGCAGCUCCAGAGGUAGGUCAUAGCCUGCAGCGUGGAGCUCUUUCCCAACACCUCUGGCUCCUCUUUUCGCUGCAUCCAUGACCUGAGGACGACCUUGACACAACAACUAGACGUUGUCUCCAGAACCACCCACACACUGCGUUGAGGCGAUCUACGGAAGGGUUGCACUGCAGAAGAUGUGCUGUAUGUCAUGUAAUGAUAUAUAAAAAAUUAAUAAAUAAAACAUUUACAUUUAUAGACAAAAGCCGUUUCUGCGGGUGUAUUAUUUACAGUAGAG